AUUGAACGCUGGCGGCAUGCCUUACACAUGCAAGUCGAACGGCAGCACGGGGCAACCUGGUGGCGAGUGGCGAACGGGUGAGUAAUGCAUCGGAACGUACCUUUCAGUGGGGGAUAACGUAGCGAAAGUUACGCUAAUACCGCAUAUUCUGUGAGCAGGAAAGCAGGGGAUCGCAAGACCUUGCGCUGAUUGAGCGGCCGAUGUCAGAUUAGCUAGUUGGUGAGGUAAAGGCUCACCAAGGCGACGAUCUGUAGCGGGUCUGAGAGGAUGAUCAGACACACGGGAACUGAGACACGGUCCAGACUCCUACGGGAGGGAGCAGUGGGGAAUUUUGGACAAUGGGGGCAACCCUGAUCCAGCCAUGCCGCGUAAGUGAAGAAGGCCUUCGGGUUGUAAAGCUCUUUCGGCCGGGAAGAAAUCGCACGGGCUAAUACCCUAUGUGGAUGACGGUACCGGAAUAAGAAGCACCGGCUAACUACGUGCCAGCAGCCGCCGUAA
rnacentral:rRNA from 1 species